AAUCAACGCUGGCGGCGUGCCUCAGACAUGCAAGUCGAACGCGAAAUUUCCCUUCGGGGAGAAAGUAGAGUGGCGCACGGGUGAGUAACACGUAGGUAAUUUGCCUUUGGGUGGGGAAUAACUCAGGGAAACUUGAGCUAAUACCGCAUAAUGCAGCGGCUCGACAUCGAGACAGUUGUUAAAGCGGGGGAUUGGAGCAAUCCGACCUCGCGCCUAAAGAGAAGCCUGCGGCAGAUUAGCUAGUUGGUAAGGUAAUGGCGUUACCAAAGGCGACGAUCUGUAACCGGCCUGAGAGGGCGGUCGGUCACACUGACACUGACG
rnacentral:rRNA from 1 species